ACACAGGUAGCACCUCUGAGGUUGGUGGGGACCCCAAGACCACCUACCCACAGGAAGUAGGACUCCCUCCUAACCAUGUGAGCUAAGCUAUAAAGACCAGCAUGGCGCCUGGGAUUACUAUGGAUUCAAAAAACUUUGCAAAAAUAUUUUGGAGGCUGGACUCAUCACCAGGUACCCAUCAUAAGGUCUUUAUUCAUUCAAAGCCUUGAUCAACUGAGCACUAAGCAUCACCUCAUCAAAAUCACCUGGAGUGCAGUUGGAGGCUGCAGUGAGCUAUGACUACACUACUGUGCUUCAGCCU